rnacentral:rRNA from 2 species
AAAUUGAAGAGUUUGAUCAUGGCUCAGAUUGAACGCUGGCGGCAGGCCUAACACAUGCAAGUCGAACGGUAACAGGAAGCAGCUUGCUGCUUCGCUGACGAGUGGCGGACGGGUGAGUAAUGUCUGGGAAACUGCCUGAUGGAGGGGGAUAACUACUGGAAACGGUGGCUAAUACCGCAUAACGUCGCAAGACCAAAGAGGGGGACCUUCGGGCCUCUUGCCAUCAGAUGUGCCCAGAUGGGAUUAGCUUGUUGGUGAGGUAACGGCUCACCAAGGCGACGAUCCCUAGCUGGUCUGAGAGGAUGACCAGCCACACUGGAACUGAGACACGGUCCAGACUCCUACGGGAGGCAGCAGUGGGGAAUAUUGCACAAUGGGCGCAAGCCUGAUGCAGCCAUGCCGCGUGUAUGAAGAAGGCCUUCGGGUUGUAAAGUACUUUCAGCGGGGAGGAAGGUGUUGCGGUUAAUAACCGCAGCAAUUGACGUUACCCGCAGAAGAAGCACCGGCUAACUCCGUGCCAGCAGCCGCGGUAAUACGGAGGGUGCAAGCGUUAAUCGGAAUUACUGGGCGUAAAGCGCACGCAGGCGGUCUGUCAAGUCGGAUGUGAAAUCCCCGGGCUCAACCUGGGAACUGCAUUCGAAACUGGCAGGCUUGAGUCUUGUAGAGGGGGGUAGAAUUCCAGGUGUAGCGGUGAAAUGCGUAGAGAUCUGGAGGAAUACCGGUGGCGAAGGCGGCCCCCUGGACAAAGACUGACGCUCAGGUGCGAAAGCGUGGGGAGCAAACAGGAUUAGAUACCCUGGUAGUCCACGCCGUAAACGAUGUCUACUUGGAGGUUGUGCCCUUGAGGCGUGGCUUCCGGAGCUAACGCGUUAAGUAGACCGCCUGGGGAGUACGGCCGCAAGGUUAAAACUCAAAUGAAUUGACGGGGGCCCGCACAAGCGGUGGAGCAUGUGGUUUAAUUCGAUGCAACGCGAAGAACCUUACCUGGUCUUGACAUCCACAGAACUUUCCAGAGAUGGAUUGGUGCCUUCGGGAACUGUGAGACAGGUGCUGCAUGGCUGUCGUCAGCUCGUGUUGUGAAAUGUUGGGUUAAGUCCCGCAACGAGCGCAACCCUUAUCCUUUGUUGCCAGCGGUUAGGCCGGGAACUCAAAGGAGACUGCCAGUGAUAAACUGGAGGAAGGUGGGGAUGACGUCAAGUCAUCAUGGCCCUUACGACCAGGGCUACACACGUGCUACAAUGGCGCAUACAAAGAGAAGCGACCUCGCGAGAGCAAGCGGACCUCAUAAAGUGCGUCGUAGUCCGGAUUGGAGUCUGCAACUCGACUCCAUGAAGUCGGAAUCGCUAGUAAUCGUGGAUCAGAAUGCCACGGUGAAUACGUUCCCGGGCCUUGUACACACCGCCCGUCACACCAUGGGAGUGGGUUGCAAAAGAAGUAGGUAGCUUAACCUUCGGGAGGGCGCUUACCACUUUGUGAUUCAUGACUGGGGUGAAGUCGUAACAAGGUAACCGUAGGGGAACCUGCGGUUGGAUCACCUCCUUACCUUAAAGAA